rnacentral:rRNA from 1 species
AUGAACGCUGGCGGCGUGCCUAAUACAUGCAAGUCGAGCGAACAGACGAGGAGCUUGCUCCUCUGACGUUAGCGGCGGACGGGUGAGUAACACGUGGAUAACCUACCUAUAAGACUGGGAUAACUUCGGGAAACCGGAGCUAAUACCGGAUAAUAUAUUGAACCGCAUGGUUCAAUAGUGAAAGACGGUUUUGCUGUCACUUAUAGAUGGAUCCGCGCCGCAUUCGCUAGUUGGUAAGGUAACGGCUUACCAAGGCAACGAUGCGUAGCCGACCUGAGAGGGUGAUCGGCCACACUGGAACUGAGACACGGUCCAGACUCCUACGGGAGGCAGCAGUAGGGAAUCUUCCGCAAUGGGCGAAAGCCUGACGGAGCAACGCCGCGUGAGUGAUGAAGGUCUUCGGAUCGUAAAACUCUGUUAUUAGGGAAGAACAAAUGUGUAAGUAACUAUGCACGUCUUGACGGUACCUAAUCAGAAAGCCACGGCUAACUACGUG